CAUAAAUAAGGUUGAGACUAUUAAAGUGAUUUAUCCCAGAGUCUUUUGUAUCUAAUGAAUGAUUUAAUCAGAAUUUAUACGCAUACUUCUGUGAGCUAACCUUGUCACGUUUCUUACAGAAUCUGGCCUCAGUAUGUAAAGGAUAGAAUUCAUUCUACUUACAUGUACUUAGCAGGAAGUAUUGGUUUAACAGCGUUGUCUGCCCUGGCAUUAGCCAGAUCACCUGCCCUCAUGAACUUCAUGAUGACAGGCUCUUGGAUGACAAUUGGUGCAACCUUCGCAGCCAUGAUUGGAGCUGGAAUGCUGGUCCAGUCAAUAUCGUAUGAGCAGAGCCCAGGCCCAAAGCAUCUGGCCUGGAUGCUGCAUUCUGGUGUGAUGGGUGCAGUCGUGGCUCCUCUGACAAUCUUAGGGGGGCCUCUUCUCCUGAGAGCUGCAUGGUACACCGCCGGUAUUGUGGGAGGCCUCUCUACUGUGGCCAUGUGUGCACCUAGUGAGAAGUUUCUGAACAUGGGAGCACCCCUGGGAGUGGGCCUGGGUCUUGUCUUUGCAUCUUCACUGGGUAAGCUGCUGUGCUUUAAAGGGUACAGGUACUCUAAAGCACUAAGAUUUAGUUUUUAAAACUAUUUAAAAACUAAGAAAUUUG
rnacentral:lncRNA from 1 species